rnacentral:misc_RNA from 1 species
GCUCAUGCCAUUUCAGAACUUACUGGUUCUAUAGAUGCCAUUGAUUCUUUGAUUGGUAAACUUUUGACUCCGACCUCCAAAGAUGUGAAGCACGUGGAUCGGAAACUCAAAUCAUGUCUUGAUCCGGGUUCACAUGACAAGAGUAAAAAAAGGAAGCAUAGAUCCAAAGAUAGCUCACAUGAGGCUACUGACUUAUCUUGAACUGCUCUAACUCAAGUUUGUAGCUUCAAAGCAUAUCUUCUUUGCCCAGUGGAAAUAGCGUUUCUCAUUGCUGCUCAUCAGUUCCCUAAUAUAGAACAAAAAUUGAAGCCAGACUGUAGAAGUAGAGGCGGGUCGAGGAUUUAAGAUCACAAAUUUCUCAAGACUUUUUUCUUAAAUUUUGUACUAUGAAAUCAAUUAGUAGUUUAAACUUCGAGUGUUAGUUAACCUGGAAUUUACUGUUUG